rnacentral:lncRNA from 1 species
GGGGCAGAAGGCAGGUCUCCUUCCUCUCUCCUAGUCCCUGAGAGCCAAGAGGAGGUGGUCUCAGGAGUGCGCCUCUGCUGGUUUCCCAAGACUUUGGAUUCCGGCACUCAGCAAGACGCAGACGGAACACGCUGGGGUUGAAAACGGCUCUGAAUAGUCACAGAUCACAA